UACGUAGGGUGCAAGCGUUGUCCGGAAUCAUUGGGCGUAAAGCGCGCGUAGGUGGCUUCGUAAGUCCGUUGUGAAAGUCAAAGGCUCAACCUUUGAAUGCCGAUGGAUACUGCGAAGCUAGAGUACGGAAGAGGCGAGUGGAAUUCCUGGUGUAGCGGUGGAAUGCGCAAAUAUCAGGAGGAACACCUGUGGUGUAGACGGCUUUCUGGACCAUAGCUGACGCUGAGACACGAAAGCGUGGGUAGCAAACAGG
rnacentral:rRNA from 1 species